ACAGCAGAAGUCAGCCCAAGAAUUUCUGCUACAGCUGAUUCGGUCGCCAUCUUUGUCGCGAACAUAAACAACACCAGCGGAUCGCGUUGGCAUUUUGGUGCACCACUGUCAUUUGGAAGAAAACGAGCACAGUGUCCCCGCGGCAGCGCUGAUCUUUCCCACCGAAGAUGACAGUUGUUUUGGUCACCUGAGCCCACCGUGUCAGACGGAGAUGGGCAUCCAGUGUGGAUUUCCUCAACGGGAGGGAGCGGAGGUUUAAAAAAGGGGGCGGGGAGCCAGCAGAGGGGCCUUGGUGCUCGUCAGACUUGAGGAGAUGGACCAAGAGUACGAGAGACGGCUGCUGAGGCAAAUCAACCACCAGAACCUGCCGACAGAGGCCCGCCUGUCAAAGUGUGUAAGUGUUACCUGCAGUCCUGUCAGUGUUAAGUCAGGGGACCGCUUCAUUCCCACCCGCGCUGGAAGCAACUGGAGCAUCAACUUCCACUAUGCCAAUGAGAACUGUCGCUCCCCAAAUCAGAGCCAUAAAGCAAAGGAUGCCAGCUCAGAUUCAAGCAAAGAUGCUGUGGCAUACGCUGCCCUGUUGAGGAACGAGUUACUGGGGGCAGGGAUAGAGACUGUGCCAGACCCUCACACGGACGACCGGCGGCAUGCAGUCCUCUCUCAAGACUCUCACAGCCUUUUUAGGUACACUGUCCACACUAAGAGAGUGCCUUUCAAUAGCGAUAAUGAAGUCUCACCGUACUCCCUUUCUCCACUUAGUAACAAAAGUCACAAACUGCUUCGCUCCCCUCGUAAACCAGCCCGCAAGAUCUCCAAGAUCCCCUUCAAAGUGCUGGACGCUCCGGAGCUGCAGGACGACUUCUACCUCAACCUGGUAGACUGGUCAGCGGGCAAUUUGCUCAGUGUCGGACUAGGAGCAUGUGUGUACCUGUGGAGUGCCUGUACCAGCCAGGUGACAAGGUUAUGUGACCUUUCAGUGGACGGAGACUCUGUUACAUCAGUUUGUUGGAAUGAGAGGGGUAGUCUCGUUGCUGUCGGAACCCACAAGGGUUACGUUCAGAUCUGGGACGCAGCAGGAGGGAGGAAGCUGACCAGUCUGGAGGGUCACUCCGCACGUGUAGGUGCCCUGGCGUGGAAUGGAGAGCAGCUGUCGUCAGGGAGUCGGGACAGAGUGAUCCUACAGCGGGAUGUCAGAACCCCCCCUUCUGCUGAGAGGAGGCUGCAAGGUCACAGACAAGAAGUGUGCGGUCUCAAAUGGUCUCCUGACCACCAGCACCUUGCAUCCGGAGGCAACGACAACAAGCUGCUGGUGUGGAACAGCUCCAGCCUGCUCCCUGUGCAGCAGUACAGUGACCACCUGGCAGCGGUGAAGGCCAUUGCCUGGUCGCCCCACCAACAUGGGCUGCUGGCGUCCGGGGGCGGCACUGCCGACCGCUGCCUGCGCUUCUGGAACACACUGACAGGUCAGGCGCUGCAGAGCACCGACACCGGCUCCCAGGUCUGCAACCUGGCAUGGUCCAAACAUGCCAACGAACUGGUGAGCACUCACGGCUACUCUCAGAACCAGAUCCUGGUGUGGAAGUAUCCGUCACUGACGCAGGUGGCCAAGUUGACAGGACACUCCUAUAGAGUGUUGUAUCUGGCCGUGUCACCAGAUGGGGAGGCCAUCGUUACAGGAGCCGGGGAUGAGACGCUACGUUUCUGGAACGUCUUCAGUAAGACACGCUGCACCAAGGAAUCAAAGUCAGUGCUGAACCUCUUCACAAGAAUUCGAUAGUGAACAGCCCGGGUCAGGGCUGGUUUCAGGACUGAGCUCUUUGGUUUAAACGCACAGAGUCACCAACCACACUCACAGACUAGCUCUUAAAGCCUGCUCAUCUCAGCACCAUCCCUCAGUGCACCAACCACUACUAUGGCAGUCCUUUUCAAAUCCACUUUUCUACAGAGGAUGCCGACUUCCAUCAACAACUGCCAUGUCACUGAUGACUGAAAAAAACCAGUAUAUUGUCAGGACAUGUUGUCUGCUUUAAAAUGUAGGUGUUGUCUUUUUUUGUUUGUUGUGGAAGUGAUGAAAUUGUUUUAGUAUAUAUUAGCAGAUGUAUAAAUGUACAAGAGUUCGAAGCUAUAUAAUGUAAGACGUCACAUUUUUAAAAGACUCUCCUUUGUAAUAGAGAGAAGAUGGGGUGUGUGUGUGUGUGUGUGUGUGUGUGUGUGUUUGUGUGUGUGUGUGUGUGGGGGGGGGGUUUCUAUAUUUUGAUAAUGUGUGAAUAUGAUCUACAAGCAGUAUACAACAGAAGAGAAACAAUAAAUAAGAGAACACUCACACACAGUUGCUCAUGCAGCUGCAAAGAAUGAACCGUUUAUUAGUGUUUUUUCAGUUUGUCAGAUGGACUGUAUCCAUGCCUGGAGAUAAGGAGCACUUUCAUUUGAUCCUGCUUUGAAAAAGAGAUGGACUUAGGAUGGGAAAGUCCCCAGUGCUAGUGGCACACUCUAGUGUUCUAGUAUCCAGACCCUUGCAGGCCCCGACAGAGCAAAGAAAACUCCUUCACGAUGUCCUUCACGCGACGCUUGUUGGUUUGCUCACUGGAAGAAAGAAAACGAUGUCGAUGAACUUUGUCGAAACACAUGUCACUGUGUCACUUUGGCCUCAACCGUCAUCCAAAAAUUGGAUUUGUGAUGAGGAAAUACUUUUAUUUCCCUAAGCUAAAAGGGUCAGAACUGUUCAGUAAUGAUGCAGUAUUGUUAUUAUGACCAAUUAUGCUUUUUUAUUUAGUGUAAAUCAUGAAAUAAUUAUUUUAAGAUUACUUACAGUCCCAGUUAUUUUCAAGGAUAUAAAUCACAUGCUUAUAAUAGUCAUGACAAGAUACAAUUUGUCUCUCAAACUAUUUUAUUAAAGGUGUCUCAUUAGGACUAUCACAGUGUGAGGUGUGGAUGAAGAUGACCUAAUAUCAUAUGAAGCGGUUUUGUUAAUAAUCACUAAAUGACUACACAUUUGAAAUUAUGAUUUCAUAAAGGUUGUUUGUCAUUUUC